rnacentral:rRNA from 1 species
UGGGGAAUAUUGGACAAUGGGGGGAACCCUGAUCCAGCGAUGCCGCGUGGGUGAAGAAGGCCUUCGGGUUGUAAAGCCCUUUAGUUUGGGAAGAAGGGUAUGGUAGGAAAUGACCAUAUUUUGACGGUACCGAAAGAAUAAGCACCGGCAAACUCUGUGCCAGCAGCCGCGGUAAUACAGAGGGUGCGAGCGUUAAUCGGAAUUACUGGGCGUAAAGGGCGCGUAGGCGGGUAUAAGAGUGUGAUGUGAAAGCCCUGGGCUUAACCUAGGAAGUGCAUCGCAAACGAUAUACCUGGAGUAGAGUAGAGGGUGGCGGAAUUUCCGGUGUAGCGGUGAAAUGCGUAGAGAUCGGAAGGAACGUCGAUGGCGAAGGCAGCCACCUGGGCUCAUACUGACGCUG